ACCAUCAAGCUUGGGCUUGUCGUUGGACCCCCUUUGCAGCUGAAAUAUGCUGCAGGUCCGAAAGAUAAUGACGGUGUCGUAAUCGACCCUAAAUGCAACGAGCUUUUUUAUAGCACGCAUUGAAGUGGUCGGCCGACCCAGUCUUUAACCAUUUUCUUAAGGUUGACCUCGGAUCAGGUAGGAAUACCCGCUGAACUUAA
rnacentral:misc_RNA from 1 species